CCACUAAUUCAGGCAAACAUAAUGCCUCUCCAAGAUUGCUUGGUUAUAUCAAGUGCCACAACCCUUCCUUAGAGAUCAGACCUAUUAUUGAAAGUACAUUGUCCUAACUUAUAAGUUGGAAAAAUCACUAACCUUGUUUGUUAAAGCCAAGAUUACUGGGUAUCUGUAUACUGUUAAUAGUUUGCUCAGAUUUAGGUGUAAACUUGAAAGGCUCAGUCCACACCCUAAUGAUAUUAUAGUCAUGCUGGAUUUUAAAUCACUCUAUCCAAACUUCCUAUUGAAAUUUGCAGUCUUAGAACUCAGAAAUUUACUAUGCCAUCCAUUCACCAUGCCAGCAGAAUUUAAAAUCUUAUCUGACCUUGCCUACCUGAUUUGUAAAAAUGUCUAUUACAGAUAUGAUGGUAGAUAUUUCAUGCAAACUAGAGGUGCCCUUAUGGGUUCCUUAUAGCUGAUGAGCUAACU
rnacentral:lncRNA from 1 species